rnacentral:rRNA from 1 species
UACGUAGGGUGUGAGCGUUAAUCGGAAUUACUGGGCGUAAAGCGUGCGCAGGCGGUUUUGUAAGCCAGAUGUGAAAGCCCCGGGCUUAACCUGGGAAUGGCAUUUGGGACUGCAAGGCUUGAGUGCGGCAGAGGAGACUGGAAUUCCUGGUGUAGCAGUGAAAUGCGUAGAUAUCAGGAGGAACACCGGUGGCGAAGGCGGCUUUCUGGACAGAUACCGACGCUGAGGCACGAAAGCUAGGGGAGCAAACAGG